GACGAACGCUGGCGGCGUGCUAACACAUGCAAGUCGAACGGAACUGUUUGAAAGAUUCUUCGGAAUGAAUUUGAUUUAGUUUAGUGGCGGACGGGUGAGUAACGCGUGAGUAACCUGCCUUCAAGGGGGGGAUAACAUUCUGAAAAGAAUGCUAAUACCGCAUGACAUAUCGGAAUCACAUGAUUUUGAUAUCAAAGAUUUUAUCGCUUGAAGAUGGACUCGCGUCCGAUUAGUUAGUUGGUGAGGUAACGGCUCACCAAGACCGCGAUCGGUAGCCGGACUGAGAGGUUGAACGGCCACAUUGGGACUGAGACACGGCCCAGACUCCUACGGGAGGCAGCAGUGGGGGAUAUUGCGCAAUGGGGGCAACCCUGACGCAGCAACGCCGCGUGAAGGAUGAAGGUUUUCGGAUUGUAAACUUCUUUUAUUAAGGACGAAAAUUGACGGUACUUAAUGAAUAAGCUCCGGCUAACUACGUGCCAGCAGCCGCGGUAAUACGUAGGGAGCAAGCGUUGUCCGGAUUUACUGGGUGUAAAGGGUGCGUAGGCGGCUUUGCAAGUCAGAUGUGAAAUCUAUGGGCUCAACCCAUAAACUGCAUUUGAAACUGUAGAGCUUGAGUGAAGUAGAGGCAGGCGGAAUUCCCCGUGUAGCGGUGAAAUGCGUAGAGAUGGGGAGGAACACCAGUGGCGAAGGCGGCCUGCUGGGCUUUAACUGACGCUGAGGCACGAAAGCGUGGGUAGCA
rnacentral:rRNA from 1 species